AUCUUUGUGGGCCCCGCUGUGAAUAAUGUGCAUUAAAAAAUUGUAUCUUUACCAUAGGACAUGGGUUUGUCAACUGAAAUCAAAGUUUUUGACCUUGACCUUUGACCUAGGAAGUUGUAAAUAAAUUAUGACACACCCUUUGGUGUUGGUUUAUAAACAUGUCAAGUAUAAACUUUGAAAUGAUAACGGUUCUCAAGAUAUAGAGCGGACACGAUCUUUACCAUAGGACAUGGGGUUGUCAACUGAAACCAAAGUUUUUGACCUUGACCUUUGACCUAGGAAGUUGCACAUAAAUUAUGACACACCCUUUGGUGUUGGUUUAUAUACAUGUCAAGUAUAAACUUUGAAAUGAUAACGGUUCUCAAGAUAUAGAGCGGACACGAUCUUUACCAUAGGACAUGGGGUUGUCAACUGAAACCAAAGUUUUUGACCUUGAACUUUGCCCUAGGCAGCCGUUCAUAAAUUAUGACACACCCUCUGGUGUUGGUUCAUAUACAUGUCAAGUAAAAACUUUGAAAUCAUAACGGUUCUCAAGAUAUAGAGCGGACACGAUCUUCACCACAGGACACAGGGUUGUCAACUGAAACCAAGGUUUUUUUACCUUGACCUUUGACCUAGGAAGUUGUACAUACAUCAUGACACGCCCUCUGGUGAUGGUUAAUAAACAUGUAAAAUAUAAAGUAUGAAAUCAUAAUGGUUCUCUAGAUAUGGAGCGGACACAAAGUUAAAGUGUUACGGACGGACGGACGGACGUACAGACUGGUCACUAUAGGGCGACCCGCCUAAAGGCGGAGCCCUAAUGAU
rnacentral:lncRNA from 1 species